CCGGCCUGCGUCCGGAGGGGAGGGGAGGCCGUCGCCGCUGGCUCCGCCCACCGCGUGGUCCAAGGACCACCACCCGCCACCGCCGCGCGAGCGUACUAUUGCGGCCGCCCUCUGCUGCGCCUGAAGAGAGAGGCGACUCUACAAGCCUCACAGCAUGCACUGUUACUAAAAAGACGAUGCGUCCUCCUGGACCUGAGAUCUGUGUGAUCGUGGGAAAGCGACGAAAAACGAACAAAGGAACAGUAAAUGGAGUAACUUGGCUAGAAUAUGGCAGUAACUACAAGGCAUGUUCUGCUCUGGCACGAAGCUCUCUUGGAACUUUGAGCCACCACGUGAGGAGUCUGAUUACCCAUUCGCAAGUGAUGCCUAAACAGCCCCUGUUCCUUCCAGACAACCCACCUGAGGCACCAGACACAUGAGUGAAGCCAUCUUGGACAUCCCAGUCACAGCCAAACUCACUCCUGAGUGCAUCUGCAUGAUGAACCCAGCAAUCCCCACCAUGGAGCAAAGGAUCCAUCCAGUCAACCCAAAGAAUCGUGAAAAAUAAUAAAUUGUUGUUUUAAAGUUCUUCAGUUUGGGAAUAGCUUGUUAUGCAACAAUACAUAAUUAAUACACUGGUCUCCCACUUUCAAGUUUGAUUAACUUUCAGCUAUUUUUCACAUAGCAGGCAGAGUGAUUCCAUUAAAACAUAUAUCAGAUAAUGUCACUGCACUAAGUAAACUCUACAAGGACUCUCAUCUCCCUCAGAGUAAAGGUCACAGUUGUUACAAGGCCCUACGUAAUGUGGCCCUCACCACCACUCCAUUACCUUUUUCUUAUCUACUAUUUGCUAACUUUGCUUUGUCCUCUUUUCUGUUCUGAAACAGGCUAGGCAUGGUCCUGCCUCAAGGCCUUUGCACCACCUACUCUGUCUGCUUGGAUUGUUCUUCCCACAGAUUUCUUGCUCCCUUCUUCCUUCAUGAAGAAAUGUCAUGAAAUGUCCUUCCUUCAUGAAAUGUCACCUUCUCAUUUGAGGCCUUCUGUAGUACCCCAAAGAAUGGUCCCCAAAGAUGUCCACAUCCUUAUGCCCAGAACCUGUGAAUGUGUUAUCUUAAUGGCAAAAGUGACUUUGCAAAUGUGAUUAUAUUUAAGGAUCUUAAGGAGGAGAUUAUCCUGGAUUAUCCAGGAGGGCCCAAUGUAAUCACAAGGGCCCUUAUAAGUGAAAGGGGGAGGCAACAGAGAGAAGGAGAUGUCAUAAUGAAAACAGAUCCAAGUGAUGAGAUUGCUGGCUGGGGUGGAGGUGGAGGGGGGUACAAUCCAAGGAAUGCAAGAAGCCUCUAAAAGCUAGGAAAUGUCAGGACACAAAUUCUCCCCUAGAACCUGAGGAAGAAACCCAGGUUUAUGGACACUGAUUUUAACCCAAUAAGUCCCUUUUCUGACUGCUGACCUCCAAAACUGUAAGAUAAUAAAUUUGUGUUAUUUUAAGCCAACUGAGUUUGAGAUAAUUUAGUUAUGGCAGCAAUAGGAAACUAGCACACCUUCCUAGCCAUCCUAUCUAAAAUGGCAACCCAUGUCCUUCCUGGCACUUCCUAUCUCCCUUCCAUGUUUUUUUUAAAUCAUAUAUACAAUAUAUUUUACUGUUUUACCUAUUGUCUUUUCCACCAGAAAGUAAACUCCACGUAAAUAAGGAUUGUCUGUUUUAUUCUUUGCAGUAUCUCCACUGCCUAGGAUAGCAUCUGCACAUACUGCACACUCAGUACACAUUUGUCGAAUGAGGUCAGGCGCGGUGGUUCACACCUGUAAUCCCAGCACUUUGGGAGGCCAAGGCGGGUGGAUCACCUUAGGUUAGGAGUUCGAGACCAGCCUGGCCAACAUGGUGAAACCAUGUCUCUACUAAAAAUACAAAAAGUAGUUGGGCAUGGUGGCAUGUGCCUGUAAUCCCAGCUACUUGGGAGGCUGUGGCAGGAGAGUCACUUGAAUCUGGGAGGUGGAGGUUGCAGUGAGCCAAGAUUGUGCCACUCCACUCCAGCCUGGGCAACAGAGUAAGACUCUGGCUCAAAAAAAAAAAAAAAGAAAGAAAGAAAAAAAUACAUAUUUGUUGAAUGAACAAGUGAAUGAACAAAUGUUAUGCAAAUAUAUUAUCCCUAUCUGUAGCUUGCCUUUUAAUUUUGUUAUAGUAACUUUGGUUGAAAGGAAGUUCUAAAAUCUUUAAUAUAAUCAAAUGUAUCAAUCUUUUCAACUUGUAUAUUUUAUGCCUUGUUUAAUCAACUCUGUCUUAUAUCAAAAUUAUAAAAGUAUUACCCUGUAUUUUCUUAUAAAAGUUUUGAAUCUUUUCUUUUUCCACUUAGAUCAUUAAUCAACUUGGAAUUGGUGUUACAUAGUGGUAAAUGAUUGUCCCAGGACCACAUAUUGAAUAUUUUAUCAUUUCUCCACUGAUUUGUAACAACACAGUGGUUAUAUAUCCUGUUUAUACAUGGGUCUGUCUCUAGGUUUCCGGUUCUGUUCCAGUGGUCUGUUUGCUUACCCUUCUACUAAUAGCACAUUGGCCUAAUUACUAUAACUUUAUAAUGUGGCUCAAUCUCUGGAAAACCACAUACCUCUCCCCUCCUCUUUCUACAAUAUUCUUAUAUUUUGCAACUGGCCUUUACUGUUUUGUAUUAUUUUUAACAAUACCUUAUAUACCCACAUAUAUUAGAUGCUCUUAGCAUCACUAUUUAUAGCAUCUAAAAAUUGGAAAUUAUUUAAAUGUCCACCAAUACAUUAGUUAAAUAAAUUAGGUUAUACUCACAUAGUGGAAUACGAUACUGGCUUUCAAAAGAAUGAGGUAAAUUUACAUAUCUACAUUAAAAGGUAUUCAAGAUAUCAGAAAAAAGGGCAAGUUGCAAAACAAUAUUUAGAGUAAGAACCUAUUCAUGAAUUUUUUUAAUGUAAUUUGUGUUACAUGUAGAAAAAAAUAUGGGCAAGAAUACAUCAAAAUGUUAACAGUGGUUAUAUCUGAGGAUCAGGAAUAGGAAGAACAUUCGCUUUCUAAGGUAUGUAUUCCUAUAAUUCAUGGAUAUGACAAUAACCAAGUAUUACUUUUACAAUAGAAUAUAUAGGUUUUAACUUUGGUUAAAGCAAAUAUAUCUUUUUUUUUUUUUUUUUUGAGAUGGAGUCUCGCUCUGUUGCCCAGGCUGGAGUGCAGUGGUGUGAUCUCAGCUCACUGCAAGCUCUGCCUCCCAGGUUCAGGCCAUUCUCCUGCCUCAGCCUCCCGUGUAGCUGGGACUACAGGCGCCCACCACCACGCCCGGCUAAUUUUUUGUAUUUUUUAGUAGAGACAGGGUUUCACCGUGUUAGCCAGGAUGGUCUCGAUCUCCUGACCUUGUGAUCUGCCCGCCUCGGCCUCCCAAAGUGCUGGGAUUACAGGUGUGAGUCACUGCCCCCGGCUGCAAAUAUAUCUUAAUGUUAAAUGUGUAUUUUUCUGAUGAUAAAAUUAUGAGAAAUGUUAUUUUCAUUUUUGUUUUCCAAAUUGUUUACAAUAAGUAUACAUUAUAAUAAAG
rnacentral:lncRNA from 1 species